UUGUUUUAUUUUUAUUUUUAUUUUUCAAACUGGAAGUUCUUUAAAUGAAGCUGCAAUUUACUUGUCUAUAAUGCCAUGUAUGUACUGAAAACUUGAUGGUUGGAAUCCAACAUAAUACACGCAUAGAAAAACAUACUAAAUUGAUGAAGAUGUGACAAUCAGUGGUGUUUGGUUGAACUAUUGCAACAACAUUUGAUGAUCUUCAUCUCCUUCUGAGAGGGUUGUUCGCAAACAGUUUAGGGUUAGAAAUAUGAAUCUACUAAAAAAAUAUCGAGUUUGGAAGGAUGAGUUCAUACCUAUGUUGAAAUUCCCUAGCCCCAAUCCCCACCUCUAAUUCCUUAUCACGUAGCUCACAACCCACUUGCAGAGUUUUUGGACAAUGGGAUUUUGAGCGAGAUCUAUCUUUAGUAGUGUGGAGAAAGUGUAAUAGAAAUGACCAUGCGCCGAAUCUGAACGUCGUUGAAUUGACCCCGGAUGUUGUGAAGUUUGAAGGGGUGGCAAGAAAUGCAUGGCAACAAUACUUGGAGCCAGGUUGAAGCCUUCGACAUUUCACGGCAAAGAUUGCGGGAUAGACCUGGAAAUCCAGGCCCCCUUUUGUGGUAUUGAGGCUUGUCGAUUGGGCUCUUAGGGGUUCAGGUCAAGAGGAGAGAUGCAGUGAUGGUGAAAAUGUUCAGUUCACAAGUGAAUGUGGUUUUAAGUCAAAUGUUGUUGCAGCAGCUUGUUUUUUCAGGCUUCCCACAAGGCUGCUGUGAUAAUCAGGGUUCUGGAAACAAGGAAGCUGUUGAGGCGGCAUGACUAUGGAUACACAGGAACAACAGCUCGACACUGACAGCACAAGCUUUCACGGGACUGUAGAUCUUGCAAUGCAAACAACAUGCAAUUUCUUCUCGAAGGAUUGACUUACUCCUGCUGGAGAGCAAGGCAAUCAGCAACGUCUUUCUUCCAUUUACAAUUUCGAGUGAUUUCAAACACUGUUUUCGUCUAUUGCUAGCACUCAAUCAGACUUGUCAGAUUUAUGUUCAUUUGAAUGAUCAUUUUAUGUUCAGUUGA